AUGGCAACUGCAGUAGUGGUGGGUGUUUCUACCGGCGCCAUGAAACCUGUUCUCGAUAAACUGUCCACUCUUAUGGGAGGCGAGUUCUCCAAGAUGAAAAACGUGGGAAAGGAUGUACAGUUUCUCAGUGAUGAGCUUACAAGCAUGAAAGAUCUUCUCGAGAACCUUGCACUUGUGGACGAGCUAGAUCCACAAACCAAGAACUGGAGAAACAAAGUAAGAGACAUGUCUUAUGACAUUGAGAACAUCAUUGAUGACUUCGGCCGGAAAAUUGUGGACAAAAAUGAAAAGGGUGGGCUCGUCAAGAAGGCUGUUCGAUUCCUCAAAACUUUCAAUGUUCGUUACCAGAUUGCUGGCCAGAUUGAAGGGAUCAAGAAACUAGUGCUUGAAACUAGUGACAGGCGCAACAGGUAUAAGUUCAAUACACCUCCAUCAAACGAUGUGACCAUUGACCCACGAGUUGCCAUACUCCAACAAGAUGCAGCUAGUUUUGUCGGUCUGAAAGUGCCAACCGAUGAGCUCGCUGAUUGGCUAAAUGACAAGGAGAUGCAUUUGAAGGUGGUAUCCAUUGUGGGAUUUGGAGGUCUAGGCAAAACAACACUCGCCAACGAGAUAUACCGUCAGCCGGAAGUGGGAUUUGAAUGUCGUGCAUUUGUCCCAGUGGCGCAAAAGCAUAACAUCCCUAAACUCAUCCGUAGCUUACUAUCUCAACUUGGAAGUGUAGAACGUUCUCUUGAUAUCGAAGAAAAUGUUCUUGUUGAGAAACUCAGAGAAUAUCUACAGAAAAAGAGAUACUUGAUUGUAAUUGUGAUAUUAUUAAAGGUGCUUUCCCAGAUAAUGGCCUUGGCAGCAGAGUGA
rnacentral:rRNA from 1 species